UUAGAAACCUCUUAUUCUCCCGCUUUUCCUUCCCAAAUUCUCAUCUCCUCUUCUCUUUUCCAGCAACAAACACAACAUCAACCCAACAUCAAUAACAACCCACAACAACAACAAGCAGAAACAGUGACUCUCACAAACAUUUUCAAACCAAGAAUUUUUUUUCACAUCGAUCUCCUUAAUUUUCUUCAACAACGCAUAACAGCACAGCACAACAGUCAGCCAACAACAACAACAUCAAAAUACCAGAAUUUCAUAAAAAACAUUAAAUCCAUCGACUUUCCAGAAUCCCUAUUUUUGAGCAAGAACAAAAUUCCAGAAUCCCUAUUUUUUAGUAAGAACAAAAUUCCAGAAUUCCUCUUUCUUCACCUCAAAUCCAUCGAUUUUCCCUCUUUCACAAAUAGGGUUAGAUUCAACAAGAGGGAAAAUUAGGGAUUCAAUGAAAAAGAGAUGGGGGACGAGAUAAUAGAAGAGAAGAACAUAGAGAAGAAAAGAGAUGGGGGUGAGAGAAUAUAGGAGAAGAGAAGAGAAGAUCAGAGAGAAGAAAAGAGAUGGGGGUGAGAGAAGAGAAGAGAAAAAUGAGAAGGGAGAU
rnacentral:lncRNA from 1 species